CUCCAGCUGAAAGUUCAUUUUUUGCCCAUGACACCAAAUGUUAUUUGCUGCGGUGCACCCCAGCUGUGUAGGAUGUUUUGCUCCAAAGGGAGAAGUUCUCAGUGAGACACAUGGCACUGAACAAGAAGGAAAUCUUUGUUGCUGAAAAGGCUUUGGCACAUGGCACACAAUUUCUUUCCAAGGAUUUGGUACACUGUGUGGACUUUAUUCUUUGUGGGCUUUAUUGUUUGUGGCAAGAAGACAAUUUUUCAAGCCCUUGUUCCUUCACACCAAAGCCCUGAUUUCACAAAAGCUUCUGGACUCACUCAGGUUUUUAAACCAGCUGACCUGGACCAGC
rnacentral:lncRNA from 1 species